GCACAGCGAGAGGAUGUGGGUGGCAAAAUAUUGGUGCAAUAGUCAACUUGGGAGCCUAUUAUUUGCUAGGGAUACCUGCUGGAAUACUCUUAGCUUUCGUCUAUCAUGUUGGAGGCAUGGGACUUUGGUUGGGGAUCACAAUAGCCCUCUUCGUACAAGCAGUACUGUACUUUAUAAUUACUUUGCGAACAAACUGGGAAAAUGAGGCAACGAAGGCUUUUGAUAGAGUACACAACACCAAGCAUGACGUUGCAGUAGCAUGAGGAUUGAGGAAUAUUUUAUAGACAAAUAUUAUGUUGUUGGAACAAAUAAAUUAUAGAUCAUGCAUUCAUGCAGUGAUUACAUAAAUGUGAUUAACGGUCUCCGUAAAAUAACCUAUGAAUUUCCCUUGUUGGAAUUUUU